UACGUAGGUGACCAGCGUUGUCCGGAUUUAUUGGGCGUAAAGAGCGCGCAGGCGGUCGUUCAAGUCGAGUGUGAAAGCCCCCGGCUCAACUGGGGAGGGUCACUCGAUACUGAUCGAUUUGAAGGCAGGAGAGGGAAGCGGAAUUCCCGGUGUAGUGGUGAAAUGCGCAGAUAUCAGGAAGAACACCCGUGGCGAAGGCGGCUCUCUGGGACGGUACUGACGCUGAGACGCGAAAGCGUGGGGAGCGAACAGG
rnacentral:rRNA from 1 species